UGUCCCAGGCCUUUGCAUGGGUCCGCGUCUCCAUUCAGCAAAGCGGCUGCCACAGCUCCCUCACUCUGCAGGGAGAAGAGCUGGGGAGCCAGGCGCCAGGCCCCUGGCUGCUUGUGUCCCAGCAGACUCUGCCCACCCUUCUCUCACCAGACCUCAGAAGCAUCCUUGCCGUCACCUUCAGCUGCCUGGCCAUCGUCCUCCUCCUCAUCUGUGUCUUCCUGGUGGACCGGUGGACACGGCAAGACUCGUCGGACGGAGACUCCUCCAAGAGAAGCAGCCAUUCCAAAUGUGACAAGCAGGAGACUUCAGAUUUCGCUCACCUGGAAAAUUCACCUGUCCCCCCAGUGGCUGCAGAGGAGCGGUUCCUCUCCUGGGCCUUUGCGGCAGUCCCUGUGAGCGUGGGCAGGACACCCCAGCUCCUGGAGCACAGCUCGGAGUGGGCCGUCCAGCUGAACCGGCACCAUGUCUGUUCUUCUGCUCUGUCUCAUGCAACCAGCACCAGUGCAUGUGGCCCCUGAGCAGGCGAAAUGCAGCCAGUGGCACCGAGGUCCUGAAUUUCAAUGCAACUUAGAUUAAUGUGGAUUUAAGUAGCCCUCUGUGGCUAGGGACUGCCACAUUGGACCACCAGGCGCUACAGACCCUCCGUAUCCGUCUCCAGGAAGUGACCCAUGUUGAGCUGAACGCUGACAUACCCUCCGAGGUGGCUUCUGUCCCCGCUGAGGUGCCCCCAGCAUCUCGAGAAGGUGCAGAGCUGGAAGUGUAGAAGAGGGGGACGCGCCGGGGGUGGGAUUAGGAGCACUGUGGUGAUUGGGAAUGCGAAAAUCCACUUGUCCCUGCGGCCCUUGCUCGUAGCCACAUCAAUAAAAGAAGUUUCUCAUCUCAGAAGGAUCUGGCUUCUUUGUGGAUUAUCAAGACCAACAACUGGACCCCACUAUCUCUGCCCACAGUUCUCCCUUGACCAAUUCAAGGAAAUAACCAAAAACCACUGACCCACUGUCAGCAAAUAAUCAGUGAUCACCUCCAGGAGAAACGGGGAGAAGAAAACGGUCAAAGGGAUUCAGCUCAGUUCCGUGGCCUGUUUUACCCAAUGAGCGGAAGAUAGAGGGUUCAACUGUGCGUAUUACUGACAAUUCUGCAAAGGUAGAAUGGAUGGGCAGGUCACAGAUCUAAGGGCUCGGUCAUAACUGAAUGGUCUUACUUUUUUUUUAAUUUGCUUUUGCUUUUCUGAGACAGGCUCUUGCUGUGUUGCCCAGGCUGGCCUCUAAGUCCUGGGCCCAAGUGGUCCUCCCACCUCAGCCUCCUGAGAGAAUGGUCUCUCCAUGUAAACUCAGUAUGUUCAAUGGAGAGGGAAGACCAGAUGAUUUAAAGUAUAUGUAAAUGUUCCAAUCAGCUUUCGGAGAGUGUCUAAAAGGGGCAGCGAGGCCAGGGACAUCUGCCGCACCUUGCUCCAUUGGCUCAGGAGAUAACAACAAAGACAUGACAUUUCUCCUCUGGCUUCCACACCUCUCAAACACUCCUGGAUGGGUGUCCGUGAAAAGCAGAGUGUGACGUCAGCAGGACCUCACAGCCACCAGGGGGUCCGUGGUGGCACCUCAGGAGGAGAGUCAUCUCAGAGGCCAUCUUGCCCAACACUUUGCUCAGGUCCCGGGUGACAGGUGCCAGGGCUGGUGAUCUGAGUCAGGAUUGUUCUUCCAGAGUCCAGCAGGUACCAGCGGCAGACUCAGCUCAGAGCCCUGACCCGCUGACUCUGCACCAGAGGACAGAAACCGUGGCCCGAGCAGGACCGGAGUGGUGCUGUCAGCUCUGGCCACGGGGCCUCCUCGAGGCCAGGCGGCUGGGCCAUCGUAGCUCCAGCACAGGUGGCUGUGCUCAGAUGAAACUGGAUCGACCGAAACAAGCCAGGGCGCGUUUGCCAGUCCCUGUCCCGGGCCGCGGCUUCUGCCAGUCCGACUUAUCAGAGUAGGAACUGGAAUGGGCAGAAACACGGGCUCAGUGCACAGGGAACUCUGCGUCCACAUUCUCCAUUUUCAGAAUGAGAGAUCCUGCAGGAUGGGAGAGCACCCAGUCCUCCCGCCUUGGACACCCUCCUGCAGCAGGGUGUAGGUCUCCUAAGAGCCAGCAUCUCCCCGGAGAAAGGCCCCGCUGGCCCAGGGGCCUGGGAGGCGCCUGUUUCCGGGGAAGCUUGCGGCUUGUGUCUCAGAGUAAGGAGCCGAGCUCAGGGAAGGGUCAAAGGAGCCUGGAAGAAGAGACCCUGGAGGCACAGCCACCGCGCAGGCUGUGGUCUGCCCUGGCAAAGCUCGUGUUGAAAUUCAAUUACGAAUGUGGGGGUCUGCAGCGUGUGGGCCCCCAAGUGGUGGGCUCCACCUUCACAGGGCUCCACCUCCCUGAGCAGAUCAGCACAGAGUGGGUGAGCCACUGUGACAGUGAGUGGCCAUGGGCGUGUCCCCCUUCAUCCCUCCUCUCUCCCACACGUGCCCACUCACAGUCACACAUACCCUCCUCCCACAGGAUGCUGUCCGCCAGGUUACCAUGCAGCACGAGGCCCUCGCCAAGGGGGACACCGGGUCUUGAACCCCCAGCCUCCAGAACAGGAGCUAAAUAAACCUCUUAACUUUAUAAAUUACCCAGGCUCAAGUGCUCUAUUAGAGGAAUAAAAAACAG